GUUGUAUGGUUAAGUGACUAAGCGUACACGGUGGAUGCCUUGGCAGUCAGAGGCGAUGAAAGACGUAGUAACUUGCGAUAAGCCCAGAUUAGGUAGUAACAACCAUUUGAGUCUGGGAUUUCUGAAUGGGGAAACCCACGUGCAUAAGCACGUAUCGUUAUGUGAAUACAUAGCAUAACGAGGCGAACCGGGGGAACUGAAACAUCUAAGUACCCCGAGGAAAAGAAAUCAACC
rnacentral:rRNA from 1 species